rnacentral:rRNA from 1 species
GAUGAACGCUGGCGGCAUGCCUUACACAUGCAAGUCGAACGGUAGAGUAGCAAUACUUGAGAGUGGCGAACGGGUGAGUAAUAUAUCGGAACGUGCCCAGUCGUGGGGGAUAACGUAGAGAAAUUUACGCUAAUACCGCAUACGAUCUAAGGAUGAAAGCGGGGGAUUCGCAAGAACCUCGCGCGAUUGGAGCGGCUGAUAUCAGAUUAGGUUGUUGGUGAGGUAAAAGCUCACCAAGCCGACGAUCUGUAGCUGGUUUGAGAGAACGACCAGCCACACUGGGACUGAGACACGGUCCAGACUCCUACGGGAGGCAGCAGUGGGGAAUAUUGGACAAUGGGCGCAAGCCUGAUCCAGCCAUGCCGCGUG